UUUCAAAAACCUGUUACAAAGCCACAGAAAUGAAACAGGAUGCUACUGGAGUGAAGAGAGACAUAUAGACCAUUGGAAUAAAGCACCCAGCCCAGAAAUAAACCCUUGUAUAUAUAGUAAAAUGGUUUAGUCAUGGGUGUCAAGACUGUUCAAUGAGGAAAGACACACUUUAACAAACAAUGUUGGGAAAACUGGAAAUCCACAUGUAGGGGAAUAAAAUUCAAACAGAUAUAAAAAUUAACUCAAAAUGGAUCAAAGAACUAAAUGUGAGAGCUAAAAUGAUAAAAACUCUUAGAGGAAAAUAUUAUGGAAAAGAUUCAUGACAUUGGAUUUGGUAAUGAUUAAUUGGCUAUGAUACCAAAACAUAGGCAGCAAAACCAAAAAGAGACAAAUGGGAAUCCAUCAAAUCAAACAUUUCUUUUCAUCAAAUGACACAAUCAGGAGUAGAGCUGUAGCUCAGUGGUAGAGCUCUUGCCUAGCAGGUAUGAGGCAUUAGGUUUCAUCCACAGUACCACAUAAAAUAAUCAAUAAAUAAAAUAUAGGCAUUGUGUAAAAAAAUCUUAAAAAAUAACACACAAUCAACAGGAUUUUAUUAUUAUUUUUUGUGUGUGGGUAUUUUACUGGAGUUGAACCCAAGGUCUCUUGCAUGCUAGGCAAGUGCUUUAUCACUAAGGUAAAGCCCUUUCUCUCUUUCUUUUUUAUGUUUUUAAAUACUGGGGAUUGAACCAGUAAGCUUCAUGCACAGCCAUUUUUAUUUUAAUUUUGAGAUAGUAUCACACAAAGUUUCCUAAGCUGACCUUGAACUUGUUGUCCUCCUGCCUUGACCUCCCUUGUAGCUGACCCAGUCUUCUACCCACCUUUUUAAAUUUUAUUUUGAGACAGGGUUAUAUUGCCUGGGCUAUCCUCAGACUUGCAGUUUUCCUGCCUAAUGUUUAUUAUUAUUUUUUAAAAGAUUCAUAUAAAUUGCUUUGGUAGGUGAUGGAAUAACAUUUUUAAUGUGUCAUGAAGACAUUUUCAAUCUAGUAGGGGAUCAAGAGUAUAAGAAAAAAUGUUUCAGUAGAACACUUAGGAAAGAAUUAGGAUUGUUUAGAAGUUGGGAGAGUUAAAUAAAAUAUGACUACUUUGAGGAGGUAGAGAUGGCAGAGUUGAUUGGGAUGGAAAGUGGUCAGCAAGGAAUUUUUGGGUUUCUGUGUGCCAACAUGGAAUAUUUAUGGUUCUGGAGGCCAAGAGCACAUCAUUAUACAGGUCAAAGAUCUUUAAUGAUGUCUACAACUCAUUACAUUGCUUAGAAACUGUGAAAGAAUACAUUUGUGUUGUUGUAAGCCAUCCAAUUUGAAGUAUUUUGUUGUAGAAGCCAUGAAAUACUAAUAGAAGGAAAUCAUAGAAAAAAGGAUACAUAUUUUUCUAUGUGUUUUAAUUUAAAGAUGUCAUUCCUUUACCAAGGAAAUCUUGUUGCCUGACUAGACUUUCCCUUUGGCUUGGGUAUAGAGAUUGAUUGAUUUUAUUUUUAUCUUUUUUUGAAGUGCUGAGUUUAAGCCCAGGGCCUUGGUAAGUACUCUACCGCUAAGCUGUUAUCUCCAGCCCUGGUAUAGUGAUUUUUCAAAAAAAAAUUUUUUUUUAAAUGGAGGCUCAUAGGAGGUUACAAAGAAAUGUACAGAAAGUCCUACAGUCUCCCCUAGUAUAAAUACCUUACACAACUAUAGUACAAUAUCAUACCAAAAAUUUGACAUUGCUACAAUCCAUAGAAAUUAUUCAGAUUUCUUGAGUUAUACACGCCCUUGUUUAUGUGUGUGUAUAAAUAACUAUAUGUAGUUUUAUCACAUGUAGCCUUGCAUCUCCACCACAAUAGUCAACAUAUUCAACAGACCAGUCACCACAAGACUCCCUGUGUUAUCUCUUUAUAGCUGCACAUAUUUCUUUUUCCUUUUCUCUAACCCUUGGUAGCCACUAUGCACUUAUCCAUCUUUAUAAUUACAUUGUUUCAUGAAUUCAAAUUAAAACCAAAAAUGAGAUACCUAUAAGAAUGGUUAAAAUGUAAAAUGAAAAAUAUAAUAUCAAAUGCUGGCUAGGAUUCAGAGAAAAUGGAUAGCUCGUGCAUGAUGAUGUAAAAAUGAAUGUAAAAUGGUAUGUAUGACCAUUGUGGAAAAUAGUUGGGCAUUUCUUUUCAAAACUGAAAAUAGAUUUACCAUACCACCCACAAUUUAAUUCUUGAACAUUUAUUGUAGACAAAUUAAGACUUAUUUUCAUGUACUAAUAUAUACAUGAAUGUAAGAAAUAUAAACAUAUGUGUGUACAUAUGUGUGUACAUGUGCGUGCGCACAUGUGUAUGUAUAUGAAAUAGGAAAAAAAGCCAAUUGAAUUUCCUUAGUGGUAAAUGGUAUUGAAUGUCUUUUCAUGUAUUUGUUGUCUGUAUAUCCUAUUAAGUAAAUUGUCUCUUGCUCAUUUUUUAAUUUGAUUGUUUUUUACUGUUAAGUUUCAAUGUUCUUUGCGUAUUCUUUCUUUUUUUGAGCCAGAGUCUAAUUUGCCCAGUUGACCUUGAACUUUCUAUCUUCUGCCUCAGCCUCCUGAGUAGCUAGGAUUAGAGGCCUUUGCCACUAUGCAUUCUUUGUGUAUUCUAGAAGGCCUUUGUUGGACUUUUUUCCCCAAGUCUAUAAUUUUUCUUUUCAUCCUUCCUUGCCCCACUCCCUAUACUGGAGUCUUUUAUCAUUAUGAUAUAAAUUAUAGAUUUUUCAUUUUUGUUUUUAAUGCCCUUUAUGAGAUGAAGGAAAUUUCCCUCCUCUCCUAUUGCCCCAAGAGUUUUUAUCAUGAAU
rnacentral:lncRNA from 1 species